AGAGUUUGAUUCCUGGCUCAGGAUGAACGCUAGCGACAGGCUUAACACAUGCAAGUCGAGGGGCAGCGGGGGCGUAGCAAUAUGCCUGCCGGCGACCGGCGCACGGGUGAGUAACACGUAUGUAACCUGCCCUAUGCAGGGGGAUAACCCGGAGAAAUCCGGCCUAAUACCGCGUAACACCUUAGGGGAGCAUUCUCUUGAGGUUAAAGGAGAGAUCCGGCAUAGGAUGGACAUGCGUCGCAUUAGGUAGACGGCGGGGUAACGGCCCACCGUGCCGACGAUGCGUAGGGGUUCUGAGAGGAAGGCCCCCCACACUGGUACUGAGACACGGACCAGACUCCUACGGGAGGCAGCAGUGAGGAAUAUUGGUCGAUGGCCGAGAGGCUGAACCAGCCAAGUCGCGUGAGGGAAGAAUGUCCUAAGGAUUGUAAACCUCUUUUGUCGGGGAGCAAAAAGGCUCUGCGGAGUCGUAUUGAGAGUACCCGAAGAAAAAGCAUCGGCUAACUCCGUGCCAGCAGCCGCGGUAAUACGGAGGAUGCGAGCGUUAUCCGGAUUUAUUGGGUUUAAAGGGUGCGCAGGCGGCGUGUCAAGCAAGCGGUAAAAUAGCGGGGCUCAACCCCGUCGAGCCGUUUGAACUGGCGCGCUUGAGUUCAGGCGAGGUAGGCGGAAUUCGUGGUGUAGCGGUGAAAUGCAUAGAUAUCACGAAGAACUCCGAUUGCGAAGGCAGCUUACCAGUCUGCGACUGACGCUCAGGCACGAAAGUGUGGGUAUCGAACAGGAUUAGAUACCCUGGUAGUCCACACAGUAAACGAUGAGCGCUAGGUGUCCGGGUCGCAUGAGACUUGGGUGCCCGAGCGAAAGCGUUAAGCGCUCCACCUGGGGAGUACGCCGGCAACGGUGAAACUCAAAGGAAUUGACGGGGGCCCGCACAAGCGGAGGAACAUGUGGUUUAAUUCGAUGAUACGCGAGGAACCUUACCCGGGCUCAAACGACUCAGGAAUAUAUUGGAAACGAUGUAGCCAGCAAUGGUCUGAGUCGAGGUGCUGCAUGGUUGUCGUCAGCUCGUGCCGUGAGGUGUCGGCUUAAGUGCCAUAACGAGCGCAACCCCUACCGCCAGUUGCCAACGGGUAAAGCCGGGAACUCUGGCGGGACUGCCGGCGCAAGCUGCGAGGAAGGCGGGGAUGACGUCAAAUCAGCACGGCCCUUACGUCCGGGGCGACACACGUGUUACAAUGGCAGGUACAGCGGGAAGCCACCUGGUGACAGGGAGCGGAACCCGAAAGCCUGUCUCAGUUCGGAUUGGAGUCUGCAACUCGACUCCAUGAAGCUGGAUUCGCUAGUAAUCGCGCAUCAGCCAUGGCGCGGUGAAUACGUUCCCGGGCCUUGCACACACCGCCCGUCAAG
rnacentral:rRNA from 1 species